ensembl:lncRNA
GUGAGUGAGAGGCCAUUUUUGAUCUGAUUAGGAGAUAAGGCCUGCGGGACUUCACUGUGGAAGAUUAGAGAGAGUUGGGCUGACUGGCAUUUGAGAUGCAAAUUCUCUGCAGGACAUUGUGUUUGAUACCAUGCAUGAUACCGUGUUUGGACAUGUGAGUGAAGACUUUCAUUUCUGCGCUACAUUUCAGAAGCAUAGGUGGCAACCUCUGCUUCUCUCAAUUGUCCCAUAAUGUAGCAAACACAGUCAGAUUGGAGAAAAAUGAACCAAUCCAGCCAGUCCUCCCUGAUAUAGCUAGACAUCUUUUAAAGACUUAUUUAUUUUAUGUAUGUGAGUACACUGUCGCUGUCUUCAGACACACCAGAAGAGGGCAUUGGAUCUCAUUACAGAUGGUUGUGAGCCACCACGUGGUUGCUGGGAUUUGAACUCAGGACCUCUGGAAGAGCAAUCAGUGCUCUUAACCGCUGAGCCAUCUCUCCAGCCCUAGAGAGUCCAAGGAGAACUUGCUACCUAUUGAAUAGCCUUGAUGUUAAUUUGACUGCACACUUCCUAGUGUGUUCUUGAUUAGAGGUAAGUGAAAAUCGGCAAGACUUGGGACGGGAGUAAAGGAAUGAAGGAAAUGACCACAGCCUUCAGAACAGAAGGGCAGCCAGAGGAAGCAGGGCACAUAGAGAACCUUCACCUUCCGUGCUGAUUAUGUCGACUUGGUACAAGCUAGAGUCAUCUGGGAGGAGAGACCU